UUUAUAUAUUAAUCUAAAUAUCAUAAUAUUUAGAUACAUAUUUUUCAACAAACAUUUUUUGAGUAUCUGGGCCUGGGCUAAGCAAUGGAGCUACAAGGUAAAUAAUUGAGACUGCUAUCUGGGGUCUGUAGGGGAGGCCAGGGGCACUCAGUUCUGUGGAACCAAAAGUUAGUAUGAUUUGCAGGACUCUCUUUAAGAAAAAAAAAUUGAAAUUACAAAUAUAAAUUUAAGUAUAAAAGAGAAAUUUUAUUUAAAGUGAGAAAAGGAAUGACAACAAGUUUCAAAUAUGUAAAAAAAAAAAAAACUAAUUCCACAAGCAUCACAAAAUCCAGGGGGACAAAACCCUACACAGUAUUUUUAUUAACAAACUGUCUAACAAACCUCUAUUAGAUUUUUCCUCAUAUAUAUUGGUUGUGUACUCUUUGAUAAUGUCUUCAUGUAACAAUGACUUUUAAAUAUAAUUUUCCAUAGAGAUACCAGAAACAUAAUUCAGUUUCUCCUCUAGCAUGGUUCAUUGAACUUUGUUUUUUUAAUUAUUGAUAUUUUUGACUAGAUCUGAUUGAAGGCCAAAUCAUUUUCUUAAAAUUUUGUAUACUUAAAGAUUGGAAAGAAGUCAAUAGGUUUAAACCUUGUUUCACCUAAGUACCUUCAGAAGUGCCCAGCACAUCAGGCCAUUCUGUGAUGUAGCCUCUGGCCUUGCCCACCCUGAGCAUCACAGCACAGGGUGAAUCAGCCCCAUGGGCAGUAUGAAGUAUUCCUAGAAGCCAGUCCUACACCAGACAGCUAGUGUUGCUUCACUAGACAUUGAAGUGAUUAUAAACCACAUAAAUAUAGCUUAUUAAAGCCAAAUAAAUGAUUCUGUAACUCAACUCUCCCUAAGGUGAAUUCACCAAAAUGCUCUCAGCCAUUCCAAGCUACCCAACAUGAGGAGACUUAUGCAAAGGGGAUUAGGGACUGAUCAGAGUAGAAAGAAACUCUAGAUCUAACCUGUCACAAUUAAAAUAGAUUAAAACUGCAAAUUUUACAAUGAUCUUGGACCUCAUGAACAUAUGAGGCCCAGGGUCUUUGCAAAUAAAGGACCCUGAUACUGAAUUUUAAUUAACCUGCACAUCAGUCCACUUCUGGGGAGGUCAGUAGGUAACCUGAGUGAGUGAACAAAGACUCCACAGUGGUACCGAACUUUGAGCUAAGUCUUGAAACAUAAGGAGACAUUUUUUAGGAGGUCAGUGGAAAUGGCAAGGCCUAGUAGGAGGUGCCAGCAAAGGAGAGAAAGAAGAAAAGGUAAGAGGGAAAGAGAAGGGGAACCAGGUAAGAAUGACCUCUUUGAAGAAUAUUAGAGAAAAUUCCAAGAAAUGGUUAAGUGCUAUUAAAAAUUGAAAUGGGUCCAAGUGGUUAAGAACAUGAAGGAGUCUAUUAUCAAUUAGGAAGCAAUGUGGAGCCCUUUGUCAAUGCAAUCUCAAAGACGCAGUGGAAGUCAAAGCCCAGUUUCAAUGGGCUGAGAAGUGAAUAGAUUACAAGCAAGUUGAUGUUGAUAGUUCAGGAAGCGCACCUGGGAUGGGAAGCAGAUGCAUAGUGCUGUGGUUAUAAGAAAGCUUAGAGAUGAAGGAAUCUUCAUUGGCAUUAAUUUUAAAUUAAAGAAGAGUUUAACCAAACAUGUCGAGAAUGACCCAUAAGUGGAGUAACUUCCUGGUCUGAGCAGAGGGCAUGUGGUCUCCAUUUGCUCCUAAUUUCACUCACCUUUGCUUCUCAGUACUCUAAAAUUUUCCGGAAUAGCUUUCCAACACCAAUCAACAGAGCAGUAGACAAGUCCUCCAGUGAGUGUAUGUGCUCAUCAGACAUUUCAGGGAAUAGCUGACACCUUGCCCCUGCCCUGUGAUCCCACAUAUCAGAAGUACAGCUAUUCACGUUCUAUUCUUCUCUUGUCUCCCAGCUUCCAAUCUCAUCUCUCCCCAUUAACCCUUCAACCUCUCUCUCCAUCAUUUUUGUACAUGUGAUAUGGAAUAUUCUCCAUGUAAUCAACUAUUCUUCAAAGAUACAGGUUUUAAAUGGCUGAAUUGUAUUCUGUGACAUGAAUUAAUCAUUACUUAUCCUAAAUCUCCCCUCUUUGGACAUUUGGUCUGUUUCAAGAUGAUUGUUCAGUCAUCUAAAUUUUUUUGUACAAUGGUGAUUUCCUGAGGAUGCAUUUCAAAAUAUGUCAAGAAAUGGAAUCACUUUUACAAAGAAAGGCAUAUUUUUAUGGCUUUUUGCAUAUAUUGCCAAAUUUUUUUCCUGGUAACUCAAAUGUUUGAUGAUAACGAAGCUCUGAGAGAAUGUAAGCCUUUGCCUUUGGUUGAACACAUUUACAUAACAUGGUAAAAUGGAAAGCCAGAAGUAAUCACCUGACACUCGUGGGGAAAAACCAGAUUUGAUUGUUUUUGUCCAUGUUUUGAAUCUACUAAGUUAUACAGUGCUGGCCUCCACAUUUUCCACUUGUGAAAAUGUAUUAAGAUAAAUUAAAUUGCUUCAGACUUGCAGUUGAAUUUCUCUGGUUCCCAGACUGUGGUUAUUUCCUUGACUGGUCAGCCUGGGGUGAAAAUUGCUUCCUGGCAGUCAGCAGGUAUGUUAUGCUGGAAUCUAGAAACACGAGAACCCACAAGAGGAAGGCGUUAUCCACCAGAUAAACAAAAGACAUGGUUGCAGAAGGGGUAGCAGUAAACAUAACCUCAGGGAGAGGGGCUGAAGGACCUCCCUCCUGCCUAAUACCCCACAGGGUUCUGAGCCUGGCCCCUUCUGGGUUGUACUCCCUGAUCCCCGGAUCCUAGGAUCUUGCUGAAUGGCCUGAGGACAAAAGACAUUUUCCAGAGGCUUCCCCUAAGAAGGGUUUGCCAAAUUUCUGGGAAUAUGUACAAAGCUUGAGCCACAGAAAGCCUGACUGAUCCACGAAUAUAAACACAUCAGUAGUGAAGUCCAGCUUUGCAUUUUUGACAAAAGCCCCUUUUUAAAAAUGUCUUGGUUUUCAAAAUACUACAUUUCCCAAAUUAUAUUUAUAGAGUAGAAUCAAACAAAAAAGCUCUUUGAUAAAACUCUGCCUAUUUCUGGAAGAGUGGAGAUAGGAAGAUGUGGGUGGGAGUUAUGUUUGUUCACAGGCUCUUAGCUGCUGAGCUUUGAUCAUUCUGCAGAGAAGAGGUAAGAUCAUUAUGCCACCAAUCCAUACCCUCAAACUGAACCUUAUAAGUCUUAUCUCACCCACUCCAUUAAUGAUCAGCAAAUGACUAGAACUCUGGCCAAAAGGCCUAGACAUCAGGAUGAAUGUCAAAUAACAGCUGACACUGCUAACUAAAAAUAGCACUUUGGAUUUAAAUGAGUGACUCAGACUUGAUUUCCUAUGCUUGCCUGGGAUAAUACCCUACAGAGCAGGGUUGUUUUAUGAUUUUUUUAUUUUUUAAAUUAUCCUUUCAAGUGAAGGGAGGGUUUUAUUGCAACCAACUGGGCAGUGAGCUCAGAGUUAGCUCUGUGGGAGUUGAGUGUAUCCACACUUCACCUCCAAGGCCCUGGGGUCAUCUGGCACUGUUGGCUUCCUAAGCACAUCUGUGCACUUGACCUUGCAGUUCAGGUCAGCAAAGAACAAGAGGAUGGUUUAGAAAGUUAUGUCAAAAUUUAACACCAUUUCCAGAAAAUUCUCCCUUCAUGCUCUUCUCAUCAUUCUCCUUCACAUAAUGGAAACAAUUAAAAGUCUAACUAGUCAACGACGAAUGACACUAGCUACAUGACCCAGGAUGCCUCCUGACAGAGAUGGCAAGCCAGAAAACCAAAUGUAUCUUUCCAGAAUAUGCCCAUAUGUAUGAUGAAUAUUAAAAUGUUGGGCAAAUUGACCGGAUAAAUAUUUAAAUAAAGUCUACAAUGGAACAUUACAUCUGUUGCUCAUUUGAGUUAAAUACUUUUUCACUGAAUCAGUUCAUUAAUAUUUGCUAAUCAGUUUGGUCAAUGAGGUUUUCCUAAUUUCAAACAGUGACAGAAUAUGUCAGGCCAACAAAGGAUGUUUCAACUAUGGAUUAUCAAGGUUUUUGCCCCAACAAAUGUAGACCCCUGGGAUCUAGACGAGUCUCUAUUUUACAUACAAGCCUCUCCUCCCCUUGUACAUUUUCCCACCCUACAGUCAGUUGCCAGAUCUCAUUAUACUUAGGGAAUAUCCUGUCUGCCCAGGCUCCCUUCCUGGCUAUUAGGAGUCAAAGCCCUUAUUCGUGACAGUAAGAAUGGAGCCAGGAAACAAUUCUGCAGCUCUGGUUUCCACAGGGAUCAUGGGCCAACAAUACUUGUCCGGAACUCAUUUGCCAAUUCCAAGUGGGACAGCACAGCAAGAGGGCAUCAAAUUAUGAAACCUACUAGUUAGGUGCUAGGCAGAACUGAGGUUAUGAUGACGUUCAGAGUUUAGACAAUGAAGCUUUGAGGAAAGCUUCCAUUGCUGGGAAUUCAUAUCAGCUUUACUGUGCUUCUUAAGCCUCAGACUUAGGUGUGGGAGGAGCUCCUAGAGUUGACACAAAGCACAUACAGCAGCUAAUGGCACUCUAAUUCAGAAUCAGAGCUGCCAACAAAACUUGAUUAAGAAAUCACAACCUAAUCAAUUCUCAGCCCGUAGGCUAAGAUCAAGUGUGAGGAAAUUGCAGCCCAUAGACCCUAGCCCAAAAAAACUGGACUCUUCCCACAUUUCUGCCGGCCUUUUACAGUAAGCCUAAGUGCUUUAAGGAUAUAUCUGUUCUGGAUCUCACUGUUAGGUUGUGGUCAGACAGGCUGGUGAGCUGAGAAAAGCCUUUGUAAGGCCCAGAAGCUGUGUGGUGGCUGAGAACUCCUUGGGAAGAGUAAAUCCCCUCUGGCCAUAUCUAUCUUUCCAAGCCCUCCUUUCUUCUCUCCUCUAUCCCCUACCCUUUUCCUCUCUCGAGGAGUGCCUCAGAACCAUCAAACCUGCCAACACCUUAGCCCUGAUGUUAGGACAUUGUUGGAGCGCCUUGGGCGUGGCUGCUGAGUGGCCAGUCUCUGGAAAUGAGUCGUCCAUUUGUUAGGAUGGACAGGGACCCUGCACAGGGACCCCGUGGCUGACACUGUCUUGUUCCAGUGCUGGUUUUGAAUCUUGGCCAACAGAACACAGGGCUCGUGCCACAUGCAGUGAGCACAGCCCCUCCUUGGAGCCUGCCUACCUCUUCCCAAAGGAAGAAGAGUGAACAGUUACGCAAACAGGAAAGGAGAAUUUAUGUGCUUCAGGAAGGGCAGUGCCCCUAAGAGGGAGAGAUAACACUUGUCAAGAGGGAGCAGCUGCAUCUAACUGUGUCUUUCUUGUUUUGUCUAAAUGUAGGCCAUAAGUGGCUUCUCAGGAGAGAGACAGAGGCAAGGGAGGGAGAGAAUGGGAGAGAUAUGCAGGGAAAGGGAUUAACGUGGCAUCUUGUUAUUGCAAAAGAAGUGCCACAGAAAAUAACAAUGUUUGGAGAAAAAGUAAAUAAAGUACCCCUGUGGCACAACGAGGAAUAGGGUGAAGGAUGGCCUUCCUACUGAAAACUGGACUUUGGCAGUGGAAGCUAGUUGUGAGUUACUUGGACUUGUAAGCCACGAAAUCUUUCAUCAGGUUGGAGAGUAUAUGGGUUACUUUCAAUAAAUUACUUCCAGGGAUUUUGCUCGUUCCUCAAAUUCCUUCCUGAAUGGAUCUUGGAUAAACUGCUGAAUUGAAGUGCCAGGCAGGAGCUGCAGCGAGGCAACUCAAAUGAUGAACAAGGGCCAGGGAAGGCCCAGCAAAAGGCAGCAUCUGAAAUUUCAGGCUCCAGAAGAAAAUCCUGCAACCCAGGUCCUAUUUUUCUCUCUGUUUUUACAAAACUAUAGCUAUUUUGUCUAGUUGACAAGGUAGACAAGAAUUGUCUACCUUAGAAUUGCCCUUUAUUAUAAACUUUUGAAUCAUUCUAGCCUAAAGCAAAGUUAGUUUCUGAUUUGUUAGACUCAUUAUGGAAAUAUUAUUGGUAAUACAGAAAUCAGGUAAGCAAAUAUGACAAUAUCGUAAAGUUCUAAAAGUGACGUGGUGAACUCUAGUUAAUGCUAUUGGAUACAUGAUCCCCAUGUGAAGUUUCCAAUUUUGGAGAUAGAUUUAAGAGCCCUUAAACACUGAUUAGAUAAGGAGGAAAACAGCACCUACAAGAUUCAAAACCCAAGUGGCCAAGGAAAUAGAGUUGCCAUUAAUGGAAAUAGAAAGGAUCCAGGAAUAACUGGCUUGAGAGAAAACUGAUGCCACAUGCUGAGUGUGAGAUGUUAGAGAGACACUGAUUUAGAAACAGUACCAUGGAGGCAGGUGUGACUUGGAAAAAGUUCUGGGAAUUAGUCGUAGUAGAACCCAAGGAAGUAGAUGUGAUCAAAAAGUUAGAGAUGGUGAGGGAGCAGAGAAGGAUGCUAAAAAGACACCUGGAAAACCCAACUGUGUGGGGAUCGGCCAAGGACAGGAGUCCCUGGAAAUGAAAAUGAGGAAAUAAGGAGAGAACCAGCACAGAUUAUGUGUACGGAGGCCAAGUGAGAGUGUGAUCAACAGUGGCCUACAAGGCCUUCAGUGGCCUGGAUUCUGUAGCUUUCUGACUCCUUCCUAUGAGCUUCCCCUCAACUUUUUCCUCUCUAGUGCCCUGGCCUCCCUGCUGCUCCCUGAACACACAGACAUGUCCUAAGUAAGGGUCUUAGCACUGGCUAUAGCUUCUACCUGGAGCACCCUCUGUCAGAGGUCCACAUGGCUCCCUCUCUGACUCCUCUUGCAAGCCUCUGUCACCUUCUCAGUGAAAUGUACACAACCGCCCUUGCAACACCAAGACCUCCUCGUACCUGCACCUCUGUGACUCCCUACCCUGUUCUAUUUUUCCUUUAUUCUCUAGUUUCUGUUUAUUAAGUGUUAACUAGAUCAUUUACUUACUAAUUUGUCUAUGUAGUUAAUUCAUAACCACUACUAAUAAUUUACAUAAUAUAUUAUGUAUGUUGUAUAGUGUCUGCCUCUGUACGCCAAUAAGCUAUAACCUUCACAAAGGCAGGGAUCUUUGUUUUAUUAACCUAUCCUAAGUGCCUAGAACAGUGCUCGAUACAGAGAAAUACUCAAUGACUAUUUGUUGAAGAAAGAAUGAACGGUGUUGAAUGCUGCUGAGGAGGAAAGGAGAAUGACAUCGAGGCAAGGUCAUUGGAUGGAUGUUUUAGGAAGUGAUUGGCAAUGCUAAGGAGAGCAGUUGCAAGAGAGAAACUGGGGAGAGGGGUGGGUAAGUGGAGCAGGGUAGAAGAAGUGAAAGCAGCAAAGAUCAUAGUGUUUAAAUCACAGAGCAAAUUAAUGUUUGGGCAUAAUAUUUAAAACUGUAGUAUCAGGUCUUUCUGAGGCUGGUAUUGGAAGACAGAAGGCACAUCGCUGGUAGACAAUCACAACAGGCUGGCCUGUGAGGAGUUGCAAUUUAGAGGUCAGUAUGUGACCUGCAGUGUAUCCAGAUUCAUGUAAUAACGUGCUGUUCUGUAAAGGAGGUACACAGAGUGUUCAAGUACAACCUAUUUUAAGACAGUCCAAUUUUUGCAAAAUCAAAAGCUAUAAAUCACAUUAGUCAAGGGUGAUGGAUUUAGAUGAAGAUAAGAGAGGAAGAGGAAGCGGGAAACUGAGAAAGCAACUAGGGCUCAACAAAAAGUACAGGAAGAAAACAGCAGGGAGAAGACACCUCCCUGCUGAGGAAAGGCGACAGUCUGGGCCUGCCCCAGAGAAAACAGCCCCAUCAGAUGGCCACAAGGGAGGAAAGGGCAAGCAAAGGAGGAGGCCAUUCUUGGAAGUUAAGACAGCCAGAGGAAAACAACAAGCGCAAUUAUAGAAAGAUCUGUAGAAAGGGGAUCUGCUGGAGGAGGGAGAAAUUGGAACUUGAGACAGUGAAUAAGCCAGAAAUCAAGGCCUCAGCGGGGAAAGGGAAAGAGAAAACCUUGAGGGCAGUCAAAGGAGGAAUAAAUCCACUUCAAGAACAUGCUCCAAGAAUAGGAGAGAACAUGCAAGGGCACAGAGAGAGCGGAAGGAGAAACUCGAGAAACAAAAACUAAAAAGAAGGAAAUAAAAAUCUGAAUGCACCUUUUGUAUGAGACACUGGGAAGUGUUCAACUGUGUGUGUGGAAUUUGUUUGAUGAUGGGUCAUUAAUUCAUUCUGUUGUGGCAUGCACUUGCAUAUGUAAAAUAAACACCUGGUGAGGGUGAGAUGCAGAGAGCUGGGGCCCAGGAGGGGAAAGGGAUGUUUAAUUCAGACCCACAUGAUGUUCGCCUAAGCCUUCAGUAGUGUUUAACUCCAGAGAACCUGGAAUGGGCCCACUAGGAGCCCAUUACCUGGUGAAAUGUGGAGCCUCUUAGGAAGAAUUUAUAACCCUUUUCUUAGGUGGGAUGCAAGGCUUCACCAAUGAGCUAGACCCGCCUACUAUUUGUCCUGGAGAAUACAAUAUCUCCUUUGGUGAGAGGUGACUUUCCUGUGUUUUAGGACUUGGCAGGGGGCUUUUCUUAACUAACAAUAACCACGCAAGAACAGCAACAGUGAGCAUCGAUUAGGGAGUUUCUUGACAUGAACUGUGCUAAGCUCUUUAUAUACAGUUGCACUUUACUAUUCACAUUCUGCAUUCAUCUACUUGCUAAAAUUUAUUUGUGACCCCAAAAUCAAUACUCACAGUGCUUUCAUGGUCAUUCAUGGAUGAGCACAGAGCAGAGGAUAAUUUAAGUCCCCCAGUGAACAUGCACCUUCCUCAUGAUGCUUUCCUUUUAGUUUCAGCUCUUAUACCAUAACCUGGGGUCCUUGUGGUGGUCUAUUCAGUGCCACAUUUUUUUUGCAUCUUUGUAGAUAUUUCACUGUUUCAAGUAGCCUCCAAGCUAGUGCCGAAGUGCUGUUGGUGUUUCUAUGUGCAAGGAGGUUGUGGUCUGCCCUACAGAGAAUACAUGGUUAGACAAAUCUCCACCAGGCAUGAGUUUUAGUGCUGUUGGCUGGGAAUUUAAUGCUAAUGAAUCAGUCAAAUACAUUGAAUAAAAUGUCUUUAAAAAGAAAGGCACAUAAAAUAAGGGAAUGUAUUGAUUGGCUGACAAAAGUUUUGUGACCCGAAACUCACAAGAACCUAACCCUGUAAUUCCGUGAAGAGCGUUGGUUGAGUAUUUACUAAUUCAGCAUUUGGAGUGACUUUAUCGAAUAUAACUGCCACAAACAAUGAGAAUCAACUGUAUGUUAUUUCAUUUAACAGUUACAGGUCAAUAAACUAAUGCUAUAAAGGGCCCAUUUUACAGAUAUAUAGGCCUAGAAGAAUGUUAGGCCUAGAAAGGUUAACUGUUGAGUUCAAGGUCAUAAUACUGGCAAGGGACUAGAGCCCAGUCUGACUCCAGACCAGCACAUGGUGUUUAUGCUGCCCUAGAGUGAGGGUGUGAAGGGGAAGGAUGAAUUCCACAUAGUGGAAGGAGGAUUUUAUUCAUGAACAAACAGGGGCUGACCCCAGGAGACUGCCAGGAAUUGUUUAAUGGUAAUUUAAAGUAAAACUGGAAUUUCUGAAAUCACAAGUAGAGAAGGAACCAGGAAAAUACUGUUUGUUAUUGUUGUGACCUUAGUUUAUAUUCCUGAAAGCUGUGUCCUACGGAAACUUGGGCUGCAUGAGGUUAUGAUCAUGCUUUGAAAAGAAUAAAACACUAUGCAAAUGUGUGGUACAAUAGAAAAACACUGAGCUGGGAGCAGAAAAUUUUAGUUCAAGUCCUAACUCUGCCAGUAGCUUGCUAUCAGCCUUUUGAGAAAGUCCCCUUCACAGCCCAUACCUUAACUACCUGACCUGUAAAUGAAAAUGCUGGUAAAUGAUUUUCUCUGCUUGAAAUUUUUCUGAUGUGAAAACUGUACAGCUCUGUCUGGAUCCUACCUGGGUGACUGGAAGUCCUAUGUUGCCUGGAGUAGGCUUGAUGUCCACCUUUUUUCUUAGCAUCAAUACUAACAGCAUCUUCUUUCAGAAUCAAAAGUGUGCCAGUUUGAACAAUAAAUAAUAUGAUUAUCCUGUGCUUCACCAAUAUUUGUUCCUUGGGUCUUCUUGGCUGAGUCAGAUGCAAGAAAAACCUUACCCUUGUCUCAGUAGUGGAGACCAGCUGGGGUUACCUCUUCUAGACACAGUGGGUUCUUGCUGUCUGGUUGUUGGGCUGCUUGGCUCUUACCUGCUGCCACGUUCCUGGCCCAUCUCACCUGGCUCUUGACUCACAGCUUACACCUUGAAUAUGAAAUAUCCUGCUGCUUAAACUGAAAAACAAUUCUGCUUUGCCUUUUGGCUUCCCAAAAAGGAAAUUAUUUCAGCUGGACUGUGAAAAGAGGACAGUAAUUAAUGUAGAGAAAGGGUAGUUUGAUGUAGCACUGCUGAUUCAAAGACAUAAUAUGCUGUAAUGUAGUCAUUCCUAGUCCUAUUGGAUUUAAUGCAAUUUUUCAUCAAAUUACCUACAAUCAUAGUAUAAUUAUAUAAACCCUGACUGAAUAUAACAAAAAUUAAUUUUAAAAUACAGAGCUAGAUUGAGAAGUGAGAUGUUGAAAGAAAAACUUCUGCCACUCUGUGAAUCUUUCUAAACAUAUUCAUUCUCUUGCUAUCAUGUAAAAAAGUUACAUGAAUCACUAUGUGAAAUAAAAUUGUCUUCAACAUAAAACAAAGCAAUGAUCUAUAGAAAUAAAACAUAAAAAGAGAAUAUGUAUACCUUAUUCUUUUUAGUAGGUUAAAAUAUACUAUAUAAUUUUAUUAUACUCUUAAUUUGCUUAGCAAAACGUUUCCUCCCAGAUACUGAAAGACAAACUUUAGCUCAGGCCAGAUUUAAUAAUCCUAAACUUUCUGAAUGUCAUUUGAAAAAUUAAACAAUCAAUUGGUCAAAUUCUCUAAUCUGUGUUUGUGGUUCAAAAUCCUUUUCCCUGUCUUUGUAGGUAACCUUCAACUAUUCAACCCAGAAAAUGUAAUAUGUUAAUGAUUGAACAAAUAUCACAAAGCUAGCAUCCUACUCAAAAUGCUGUUUCUCAAUUCUGCUCAUGGGUUUGAAACAAAUAAUUUCUCAGUAGUAACUGCUUGCUUUCCAGAAAGGGCUAUGAUUCAAGAAGAAGGGUUGCGGAAAACUUGUACUUGUUACAAACCUGAUUGGCUAGCAUCUACCUUAGAAUCCUUUGGGACAAUAUUAAGGUGGGCUAUAUUGGCUAAAAGACCAUAUUUCUAGGAACUUGCCAACCAGAAACUCAAAUGAAAGCUGUGCUCUUGAAGCUCUGAAGCAAAGAUGUCAAAGUAACACUAUGUCCCUUCAUAGUGCCUGCUCCCUGCUCAGAAAACAACCCUGGGAAGACCCAAGGCCUCACAGGACCUUGGCUGGUCUACGCCCUAAAGAGGAAGCAACAACCAGCAUCUUUUAUUUGAUUUAGCUCAGUUUAAAAUAUCAUCCCAUCUGUGCCAAAAAGGGGCAAUUUGAUCUUAUGAGCAAACGGCAAAAGGGAUUUUGCAUUAGAGGAACAACAACAACAACAAAAACCUGUUUGUUAGUUUCUUACACUUUCUGCAAAUAUCUUAAUUUUAAAUGCUAAAUGUUGUUAGGACACUUUAUUUGAGAGGUGUAUUAAGCACAAAUCUUUUUUAUGAUAUUGGGCAUUUAUGUUCAAUCUCUUUUCUGUUAAUAAUUUUUUUAUUUGAUAAUUUUUAAAAAGAAAAAUAAAACAAAUGUCCCUUUAUCCAGUGUGUGGCUCCAGAUAUUUGACUUUUAAAUGUUUACCUAAGAAAAAAAAGAAUGAGGUUGCUAUUUGCCAAGGCUGGAAGGAUGGAAUUUGAUAUUUGUUUACGGAAGUCAUUGGUGCUACUGCCUUACCUGCUACCCACUGCCCUACCCUGCCACUUUCUCAUUCUUCAAAAGUUUCACUGACAUGAACCUCACUUGUGGGUGGCAGGUUAUGAUCAAGCACAUAGUUUUAUCUUUGUCUUAUGCAACAUUUGGGGUAAAAAGAAGUUUACGUGGUAACCAGUUUAAAUCUUGAACUAUGGGCAAAGAUUGACCAGGCCAGGCCCUGAGACACACACUGUGUUGAGAGCCAAGAUGCAAAGUGGUGAAGAUUCAGGCUCAGAGCCCAGCAGGCCACAGGCUGGAGGGGUGAUGUGAGUUAUCACCCAGUGACUGCUCCUGGGUCAGGAAUGAUUUUUUGUCCCUUUUUUGGAUUUUCUAUCAUGAGCAAGAAAAACAGUCUCUCCAUGAUCAGGGAAACAUCAGCAGGGGCUUCCUCAAUUGGCGCUUUUCUCCUUCAUCCGCACCACAGAGUCAUAGAGGUCAAGUCCUUUUCUUGUUAAACCUAAAAAACGCAAAUGUCAAAGUUGCUGCUAUGGUGUACUAACUUUUGUCACAGUGACAUGCCCUGUCACAGGGCAUAUGUAUUCUGUUAUACAAUUGAAAUAUUGGAUAUACUAUUGUUUUUGUACUAUUGAAAUCUCGAAUAAACUGAAUUCUAAAAUAAGUAUGACCUCAACAAUCUCACACCUACUUAUAUCUUACAGGUCUUUCUGUCUAAUGCUGGCAACCUAAGCCAUGUUCCAGGCAAGCAACAUUCAAUAGCAUUUUACUGCUCCAACAAGUUGGUUCGAUUAGUAAUGUCAAAGGGAGUCACUAAAUAGAUGGUGCAUAACUAUCAUAUAAUCUCAUAUGAUUUUCCACCAGUUACCAUGGAAAAAUUGAUGAAGUUUCUUUACAAUGGAGUAAGUUCAAUCACACUUAAAAAACUAAAUACUGAAGAUAUCCACAGCUGGUUGCUCUCUAAAAAAUCAGAAAUGGCAUCUUUACUUUGUUUCAAAUCCCCAAUCCUGGUGGUGGUCCAAAGUUAUGGCAGUUAGAACUCCUUAUGUCAAUACAAGGAAGUUGGGAGCAUAUUAAGUCAGCAUCCUUUAAAACUAAGAGUAUGACUACAGUGGGGUAGAAUUUGGGACUUCACACCCACUCCCUGUUUCUGUUCUAUUUUACCUUUUCUGACUUCUAAGCCAACAGGAGAGGGGGAAGGGCCACACUUUUGUGACCCUUCCUAAAAAAUUGUGUUGAAUUUUGGAAACAAAGAGGGACUUCUGAGGGGGUGGUUGAGGAUGGGCUGAAGGCACAGAAGAAACCAACUGGUGUGCCCCCCUCCCCACUAGCAGACCCUUCUUCCUCAUUGGUUCAGGUCACACAAUCCCCAAGAAUUCAAGGAAACACCUAGAGUUAUUCCCUGUUAUUUCUCAUUUCUCUUUUCUUUGAUCUGGGGUCAAUGAAGUAAGAAAUCUAAAGGUGAAGGAAAGGCAGAGAUCAACACUGAGCAAGUCUAUGUUGGAGAGGGUAAUAUCACCAACGACUAUACCCAAGAGAAGGGAGCAAAACGCCCUGGGUGAUGCUAUGCAUCACCUAGGACUGCCACUGUCCCCUGUCAUCAUUAGCGUUGCUGAGCUCAAGCUUUGAGCCAGGAAUUAAACCAAAAUCUCCAUGGAUCUGUCUAACUUAGUCUUAGUCUUUGCCUCCAUGACAGCUUGUUACAUCCUGAGAUAGAUCCUUUGUAAACCCUGUGUUCAAAGGGCGCUGUUAAAGCACAUCUUCUGUCUUGAACCAGAAAAUUGCUUAAGCCCAGAGCCUAAAGGCAGAGCUGCCAUGAUCUGUUCAUGGGGAUUGACUACUUAUUGAUGCCAAUGUCACACACCUGUUUGUCAUUUUCACUUCCAAAUGAAGAGUCAUGCUGCACAUCAGUGAGAAAUGUUCAGCUGUCAUCUGUCAGCUGUUUGUUUGUUUGUUUCUGCUCUCCUUCUACAUGAGAACACAUUUAAUCAUGGACCAAUUGGGCAAGCAACAUUGUGUGGCCUCUGAAGGCUGAGAUUUUAGUUCUCUCAUCAGAACAAAUGUAAAAGGAUAGAAUAAUGAAAUUUGAAAGAUUGAGUCGCUUCAAAUCUAAAAACAUUUAUCCCUUUCUCACCUUCUCUAAAUAGUAUUGUACACUGAAUUGAAGCCAAAAUAAUAACUGCAGAUUCUAAAAUGUCUAACAUUGUUUACAUAUUCAAAUUUUUAUUUUGAAGUUCCUUGAAAGGGGCUAAUUACUACAACCAAAUCAUACAAUUAAAAAGUUUGCAUGCUGUUGAAAUAAUUACAUCAGAUGUAUUGCUUCCAAUAGGAAGGAUUUAAGCUAUAAAGACCCAAUCUACAGAAGAUAGCAACUCAGUGAGACUUAAUUAUACAAGUGUAGUUUUGUUGCCAGCACCUAUGAGAUAUCAUAAAAAUCAAGUUAAAUAUUUGUAAUAAAGGAUUACAGACUAGGAAAGAUAUUUCUUUUAUAAAAAUAGCUCAUGAAAGUUGGAUUGUGACUAAGAGGAAGAGAAAAGAAGGAAAGAAACUAACAAUUGUUAAAUACUUAUUGGGUGCAGAGAUUUAUAUACUUUACCUCAUUUAACUGUUCAAACAGCCUUGUGAAGUGGGUACUAUGACUAUCACUUUGAAGAUGAGGGAAUUGAAGCUCAGAGAAUUUGAGUAACUGAACCAAAGUCAUAUAGCUAGUAAGUAAAGAACUAGGAUUCAAAUCUAGAUCUGUAUGCUUCCAAAAUUCAUUCUCAUUCUUUUUGAGUAUACGAGAGGCCAAUUAAAAAACCCCUACAUCCCUCUGAAUUUGAACUCAGUUGAGAAAUAAGACAGAAAGAUGCAGAUCAAAGCACUUGUUUUCUUACUGAUAAAAAUGACUGACUGGCAAAUGUGACUUUUGAUGUGUGACCAAUUUGCUUGCGAUAGUUCGUGGGGAAUUGGAAAUCCUUGCCCUUGUGGUUUCUGGCUCAGCAGGACCCCUGUGGGGCUUCUCCCUCUCCAGGGAGAGUGCUCUGGAAGGUUUACCACACCGGUGAGAAGAUGAGCAUGUGGGGGAUUGGUUGGCCAAGGGAGAAAUCAAGGCUGAAGCCAAGUGUGCUGAGCUCUCACAUGAGGUCCUUUGCUCCUGUUUCCUGGAAUCAUAAUUGGGUGGAGUAGAGAGAAGCAAGGGUGUUCCUUCUGUCCUUUCUCGCUUAGGGAGUGGGAGUGGAAAUUUUUCCACAUCUAAGGAAAUUUGAAAAGACAAAAUAUGGUUGCUUCUUCAAGCAGACCACCUAACCACACUAUCCAGGGUCUAAAACCCGCUUGCUGCUGUUAAAUUAUGCCAAGAGAGAACAUUCUGAUCAUUCUCCUCAAUUCUAGGCAUGGCAUUGUGGCUCGGUGCUUAAAGGCUGGAGUUUUGAGUUGCAGAUCUAGGUUUGAGUGCUGAAUCUAUUAGCUUCAGGGUGUUAAACAAGUUUCUUAAUCUCUCUAAACCUUAUUUUUCUCAAAGAUAAAAAUUGGGUGUAGUUGUGAAGAUAGUGAAUGGCACAUAAUAUGUGCAUUUGACACAUUAAUUUGCUAUUAUCUGGACAUAACUUCUCCUAAGUAAAAGGAUGAACUAAUUGCAGGGCCUAGCCUAAGCUCUGAGAAGUCAUUUUUUACAGGGUUUCAGUCCACAGUAAGCAAGAAGAAAUAAGAUAAAGAGUUUAAACCAGGGAAGGCAUAGCUGUGGUCACCAAACAACCUAUUAGUGACUGAAUUGUGUUCCUCAAAUUCAUAUGUUGAAGUCCUAACCCCAAGUACCAAAUGUUACUGUAUUUGGGGAAAGGGUCCUGAAGAAGUCAUUCAGUUGGAAUGAGUCAUAUUGCAUUAGGUGUUGGGAAUUGGCUGGCCAAGGGAGGGAAAAUCAAGGCUGGAACCAAGUGCUGAACUCUCACAUCAGGUCGUUUGCUCCUGUUCCCGGUACUCUUUACGGGGGUCCAAUAUGACUGGCAUCUUUAUAAGAAGAGAAAGAGGCACCAGGGAAGUACACGUACAGAGAAAAGGUCAUUUGAAAACACAGUAAGAUGGAGGACAUCUGUAAGCCGAGGAGAGAGACCUCAGAAACCAGUCUUACCUGUACCUUGAUCUUGGAUGUCCAGUCUCCAGAACAGUGAAAAAAACAAAUUGGUGUUGUUUAAGCCACCUGCUCUGUGGUAUUUUGUUGUGGUGGCCCUAGCAGACAAAUAUACAACCCAAAAGAUUCUUUCCACAUUCGCCAUUUUCUAUUUUAUAGUUUUUUCUCCUUUUGUUUCCUUCUCUUCUCUUCCCUCUUUCCUUUAGUUUUUAAUUUUAAUUUUAAUUUUAAUUUUUGGCCUUCCUAUUCCUCCAUCUGCCUUUCCAGGAAGCUGAAUUCCAGACAAUUAACCAUUCAUCUCAACAGUUUAGCAAAUCAAAUGCCCUCAAUGGUUUCUUUUGUGAUUCAAUUAAUAUAGAAUCAGAACGUAAUGUACUCCUCUGGGAAAAAUGAAACAUAAAAAAUUCAGAAAUAAGGUUUUGGGUCAGCGUCACUGGUUUUAAGAGAGGGAAGGGAGAAGACUCUUGCAGGUUUGACGCUGGGCAGCACUAUGUGGUUGGGCCUGGCAGGCACUCGAGGCUUUAGGUCUUGGUUUGAAUCCAGAUGAGAAAAUCAUUACUUUCUAAAAGCCUUGAGGGUCUAGAAGAGUUUAUGUGAAGGGAUAAUGUUUGGAAAAAGUUUUGCAGAACUAGAGAAAAGUUUCCAGUUACCUUUUCUGUCCUAAUGUAGAGCAUCUUUGCUAACUAGGUCUUGAAUCAAUCCAAGUUGUCUAUAAGAGUAACCAUUUUUAAUUUCUCACUGGCCAGCACUAACACCCUUUAGAAAACGAGCUCAAAGCAGCCCUAGUAACCAGAGUCAUGCGGCCAUGGUGGGAGUAGAGCUCCGCACCAAGGUCAGCUCCUCAGUGCCUUCUGGACGACUGCUUGUAAAUAAAUAUUAAGCAUGACCAUUAAAAAAUAAUUUGGCUCUGACCA